UUCAUACUCCCUCCGUCUCAAAAUUCUUGUCUUAAAUUUGUCUAGACAUGAAUGUAUCUAGUCACGUUUUAGUAUUUAGAUGCAUUCAUUUUUAGAUAAAGCUAAGACAAGAAUUUUGGGACGGAGGGAGUACGUA
rfam:Hordeum vulgare subsp. vulgare, WGS project CAJW01000000 data, contig: morex_contig_174623